UACGAAGGGUGCAAACGUUGCUCGGAAUUAUUUGGGCGUAAAGCGCACGUAGGCGGCUCUGCAAGUCGGAUGUGAAAUCCCCUCGGCUCAACCAAGGAAGUGCAUCCGAAACUGCAAAGCUUGAGUACCAAAGAGGAUCGCGGAAUUCCCGGUGUAGAGGUGAAAUUCGUAGAUAUCUGGAGGAACACCGGUGGCGAAGGCGACGUCCUGGACCGGCAUUGACGCUGAGGCGCGAAAGCCAGGGGAGCAAAGCGGG
rnacentral:rRNA from 1 species